rnacentral:rRNA from 1 species
CGUAGGGGGCCAGCGUUGUCCGGACUUACUGGGCGUAAAGCGCGCGCAGGCGGUCGUGUAUGUGCCGUGUGAAAGCGCCACCGAAUGGUGGCGAGGGCAGGGUAGACAGCACGACUUGAGCCUCGGAGAGGUCGGUGGAAUUCCGGGUGGAGCGGUGAAAUGCGUAGAGAUCCGGAGGAACACCAGGGGCGAAAGCGGCCGACUGGCCGAGUGCUGACGCUGAGGCGCGAAGGCGUGGGGAGCGAACCGGAUUAGAUACCCGGGUAGUCCACGCAGUAAACGAUGCACACCCGGUGUGGGGCCGGCAUUCCAUGCGGCUCUGUGCCCAAGGUUACCUGAUGAGUGUGCCGCCUGGGGACGUACGAGCGCAAGCUU